rnacentral:lncRNA from 1 species
UUCAGAGGUUACGCAUCUCCAUAGUUUCUAACGUAUUAAGCUGCAAGUAGAUGGAUGGAUAAAUGGAAAACGUAAUGCAGUAUAAAUUCACAACACUGAGCCCUAGAAUGCAGUUUAAAGUAUAAAAACAUACCGGUAAAAUUCUGAUGCCGGAACUGAUGCACUAGUUUGCUAUUUUACACAUAUUUCGUAGCCAUAUGGCCCUGCAAUUUUAAGCUGUACUUCCCUUGUAUUACACCACACAGUUUUAAUCUCAUUUGGUUUAGUAUUCACUCACUUUUCGUAAUAAAUUCACUUUGUUUGGAGACCCUGCGUGGGUUAGAUGUGUUCUGUCACUUCUGACAGUUUGACGUUUAUAAACUGGUUGGGGAAGAUUUGAGUCACAUAAAUACCCGUUCAAUGAAAGUUUUUUUUUUCUUGUCGGAGAAAAUCUGAUUUCAUUUUCAUUAAGAUAAAUUAACAUUAUAACAUGUAAAGUAAUUCUAGGAUAUUGGUUUGCAAUAAAAUUUAGCUAAUAGUUUGGUUUUGUUUUUCUUCUGCGGCGUUAGUCGUGUUCUCAUUUGUCUAUGAUAUGGUCAUUAGCAAAGGUGACUAUUUGCAUUACGGGGUUGAAGAUUCGUUUAAUGUAAGUUAAUUUCUUCUUUCCAUACAAAAAUACUUAGAAUUUUAAAAUGAGGGGUAUGUUGUUAUUUGUCUUAAUUUUUGGUGAAAGUUUUCACAAUCUAAUAUUUCCUUUUCUUUGGUUGGAUACGUGGCUAAGGUCUCGGGCCACCAUUAAAAUAUUGUGAUUGCCUGAAGUGAAUCGCAGUUGGAAGGAUGUGAAAUAAUAAAUUGAUAAUAUCCCAGGCAAUCCAUUCAUUCCGGGCCGAGCCCGUUAAACUCGAUUUUAACCUAAAAAUGUGAGCCGUCCUUACAAAGAAAAGUAAACAGCCAGUUUUAUUUCGCCUUCAAUCUCUUCCCAUCGCUGCCACGUGAGAACGUGACGGUGACAUCCAGAGGAAAAUAAGGAAAACACCCAGCCUUUCUGGUAAGUGGUUUUAUCUCUGUUACACCAAAAACCCCUAAAAGCAACCCCGCGAUUAAAAAUAUAGAAUUAAUUAAAACAACAAGUUACCGAUUUCCAAAAUUAUCUCACCUGGUUAUUUUGUUUGUCCACCAGGGUGUUUUUAUCCGGGUAUAUGUUCCACAUACUAUCCUGCUACUAUCCUGGUAUUAUGUCCUGAACUGGAGUUAGCAGUUUGCUGCCAAAACUACUCGUGAGAGAAACCGCCCAAGUUUGUGAAACGGAUUAAUACCUAGGAUAUUUUACAUUUAUAACAUAGCAUUUUUAAUUAAGGAUAUCCAUCCAGGAAUAAGACCAAUAUAAUUUUGUGGAGCGAUAUAAAUAUAUAUAUUUCCUGUAAUAAAACUUAAAUUAAAUACUUCCACCUCCGUUAGACUGUACGGUGGUGAUAGAAAAUAAGAACUUAGUGAAGGUUGUUCUUACAAUAAAUUAAUUAAAUUAGU